AUGGUAAACCGGUGACGUGCA
rnacentral:miRNA from 14 species